rnacentral:tRNA from 1 species
GCUGUGUUGGCGUAAUGGAAACGCAACUCCCCUGUAAGGAGUAGGCUCUCAGUUCGAGUCUGAGACGCAGCUUA